GCUGCUUAGAUUCAGUGCUGUCAAAUCCAGCCCAUCUGCUGCAAUCAUAAUCAGUCUCAACCAAACGGUUCUGACAAAUCUCCGCCUGGAGCCGCCUGGAGCCGGAGUUAAGAGGACUGGGGGAGGACUGGGGGAGGGGAGAAGAGGGGCCAGGGGACCCAGGCACCCAAAGAGAAGAAGGGGCCUGAAGGCUUCUAUUGUCUGCCCUGAGUGGAGGAACUGAAAGGGGAAGCAAGGAUCCAGAAGGGGAAGUAGAGCUUUCAUUUCCCAGUUUCUAGUAAGAAAGAGAAAAAAAUCCAUUCCAGCAGGCGCCUGUUCCCUCCACACCCUCACCCCCAGCUCAGUCCGAGUGGAACGAAUUUCUGCUAAUGAACUAAACAAACAGGUCCCUUAAUCUCAUCGUGGGGCUGACCCGGAGACUGUCACAGAUAUCCAAAGUAUUGUUAAUUGGCAGGUAAUAUGGAAAGUCGAAGAAGCAGAGGAAGAGACAUGAUCAUCUGAAUAGUUUAAUGGAUCGUUCUGACUGCCACAUUGAAAAUGAAGUAUAGAGAAACAGAGAUGAGGACAAAAGCAGGAGAUGAUCAGGAGUGACAAAUGGAUCCAGCAGUUGUGCCUGUGAAAAGCAGUUUUGAAAAGGCUCAAGACCAAAUGAAAGAGCAAAGGAUAAAGAAGAUCUCAUUACCCCAGAAGUAUCAGAAGACGUCUGUCCUCUCAUGUAUUUGAUGAAAAAAUGAUCCUAACAAACCAACCUAACUGACCUCCCUCAGAAUAUUUCUGAUGAGAAAUGAGUAAACUUUUGCUUUUCACCUGAUGCCAACUGAUUUCUUCUCUGUGAAAUAUGAGAACAUCCACAUGUGACAGUGGUCCCAGCUAAAUAAUGUACUCCAAUUUCCAGUAACUGUUUUAUAGAAAAAUAAUCUGCACUGUAUUUACAAUGUUUAACCAAUGUGGCAGAGACAAAUGCAAAGUUUACAUGAUCAAUUUUAAUGUGUUAUGUGAUAUUGAAAGUUAUUUUCAAAUAUAAACUUUAUAAUUAUAAGAAGGAAGGUAAUGGUUCUGCUUUAAAACUGCCUGGAAAUAAACUUCUAUACUAUAAUGAUGGUUUAGCA